UACGUAGGGCGCAAGCGUUGUCCGGAAUUAUUGGGCGUAAAGAGCUCGUAGGCGGCUUGGCAAGUCGGGUGUGAAACCUCCAGGCUCAACCUGGAGACGCCACUCGAUACUGCCAUGGCUAGAGUCCGGUAGGGGACCACGGAAUUCCUGGUGUAGCGGUGAAAUGCGCAGAUAUCAGGAGGAACACCGGUGGCGAAGGCGGUGGUCUGGGCCGGCACUGACGCUGAGGAGCGAAAGCGUGGGUAGCAAACAGG
rnacentral:rRNA from 1 species